rnacentral:rRNA from 1 species
AGAGUUUGAUCCUGGCUCAGGAUGAACGCUGGCGGCGUGCUUAACACAUGCAAGUCGAACGGUGAAGCCCUUCGGGGUGGAUCAGUGGCGAACGGGUGAGUAACACGUGGGCAAUCUGCCCUGCACUCUGGGACAAGCCCUGGAAACGGGGUCUAAUACCGGAUAUGACCUGGGACCGCAUGGUUCCGGGUGUAAAGCUCCGGCGGUGCAGGAUGAGCCCGCGGCCUAUCAGCUUGUUGGUGGGGUAAUGGCCUACCAAGGCGACGACGGGUAGCCGGCCUGAGAGGGCGACCGGCCACACUGGGACUGAGACACGGCCCAGACUCCUACGGGAGGCAGCAGUGGGGAAUAUUGCACAAUGGGCGAAAGCCUGAUGCAGCGACGCCGCGUGAGGGAUGACGGCCUUCGGGUUGUAAACCUCUUUCAGCAGGGAAGAAGCGCAAGUGACGGUACCUGCAGAAGAAGCACCGGCUAACUACGUGCCAGCAGCCGCGGUAAUACGUAGGGUGCGAGCGUUGUCCGGAAUUAUUGGGCGUAAAGAGCUCGUAGGCGGCCUGUCGCGUCGGAUGUGAAAGCCCGGGGCUCAACCCCGGGUCUGCAUUCGAUACGGGCAGGCUAGAGUGUGGUAGGGGAGAUCGGAAUUCCUGGUGUAGCGGUGAAAUGCGCAGAUAUCAGGAGGAACACCGGUGGCGAAGGCGGAUCUCUGGGCCAUUACUGACGCUGAGGAGCGAAAGCGUGGGGAGCGAACAGGAUUAGAUACCCUGGUAGUCCACGCCGUAAACGUUGGGAACUAGGUGUUGGCGACAUUCCACGUCGUCGGUGCCGCAGCUAACGCAUUAAGUUCCCCGCCUGGGGAGUACGGCCGCAAGGCUAAAACUCAAAGGAAUUGACGG